rnacentral:tRNA from 1 species
GCGAGAGUGGCGAAAUUGGCAGACGCGCUGGAUUUAGGAUCCUGUGCCUUAAACGGCGUGGGGGUUCGACUCCCCCCUCUCGCA